rnacentral:rRNA from 1 species
GAAGGGUGCAAGCGUUACUCGGAAUUACUGGGCGUAAAGCGUGCGUAGGUGGUCGUUUAAGUCUGUUGUGAAAGCCCUGGGCUCAACCUGGGAACUGCAGUGGAAACUGGACGACUAGAGUGUGGUAGAGGGUAGCGGAAUUCCUGGUGUAGCAGUGAAAUGCGUAGAGAUCAGGAGGAACAUCCAUGGCGAAGGCAGCUACCUGGACCAACACUGACACUGAGGCACGAAAGUGUGGGGGGAGCAAACAGGAUUAGAUACCCUGGUAGUCCACGCCCUAAACGAUGCGAACUGGAUGUUGGGUGCAAUUUGGCACGCAGUAUCGAAGCUAACGCGUUAAGUUCGCCGCCUGGGGAGUACGGUCGCAAGACUG